CUGGGCCUCCUGGAAUUCAGACGGUUAGUACCACAGGGAUUCAGCAUCUGGGGCCAGGGGACCGGUCGGCCACAUGCCAAGGACACAGAGAUGCAGCCAUCCAGAGCCCCUUGCAUCACUCUGCUGCCAGCGCUGAGAGCGAUGCCAAACAAAUGACUGCAGGAAAGCACACUGCUGAAUCCCUGCCAAGGAGGAGUCUC
rnacentral:lncRNA from 1 species